AAUAUUGGACAAUGGGCGCAAGCCUGAUCCAGCCAUGCCGCGUGAGUGAUGAAGGCCUUAGGUUUGUAAAGCUCUUUCAUUGGGUAAGAUAUUGACGGUACCCACUGAACAAGCCCCUGCUAACUUCGUGCCAUCAGCCGCGGUAAUACGAAGGGGGCUAGCGUUGUUCGGAUUUACUGGGCGUAAAGCGCACGUAGGCGGAUUGGUCAGUUAGGGGUGAAAGCCCAGAGCUCAAGUCUGGAAAUGGCCUUAAUACUGCCGGACUAGAGUCCGGAAGAGGUGAGUGGAACUCCUAGUGUAGAGGUGGAAUUCGUAGAUAUUAGGAAGAACACCAGUGGCGAAGGCGGCUCACUGGUCCGGUACUGACGCUGAGGUGCGAAAGCGUGGGGAGCAAAC
rnacentral:rRNA from 1 species